UUUUUCUCUGACGAACUUCUUCUAAACUCUCCAAACUCUAUCUUUGUUCUCUUCUCCGUAGUGGUGCGAUAAGGCUGCUUCCGGAGCUAAACGCAAACUAUCGGAGGAGCUUACAAAGCUGCAGACCGCCACUGAUCUCAAGUUGCUUUGGCAUAUUUCCUAGGUUCUAAGUGUAUAAAUUUUUCUGUCUGUAAAUCUGCUAGGGAGAUGUGCAGGUCUGUAAUCAGAUGCUUUUAAAUGCUGACGUAUUCUACUUUGUUUCCUAAAAGGGAUAGAAUAGUUGGCUUGAUUAUACCCAGCCUUGGCUUUGUAAUUUUCUGUCAAAAAUUGGUCAAACAGGAAAUAUAUUUCAUGUUCGCGCUUUAUGAAUAAUUGUAAUAUAAUAAUGAAGGCUUUCUUUGAUCAUUUUUGG
rnacentral:lncRNA from 1 species